rnacentral:rRNA from 1 species
AGCAGCCGCGGUAAUUCCAGCUCCAAUAGCGUAUAUUAAAGUUGUUGCAGUUAAAAAGCUCGUAGUUGAAUUUCGAGACCGGCUUACUGGUCGUGCUAUUGUACGUACUGGUAUAAUCGGUUUCUCCUUUCUGACGAACUAUAAUGCCAUUAAUUUGGUGUUUUAGGGAAUCAGGACUGUUACUUUGAAAAAUUAGAGUGUUUAAAGCAGGCUCACGCUUGAAUACAUUAGCAUGGAAUAACGGAAUAGGACGUUUGAUUCUAUUUUGUUGGUUUCUAGGAUCGACGUAAUGAUUAAUAGGGAUAGUUGGGGGCAUUAGUAUUCAAUUGUCAGAGGUGAAAUUCUUGGAUUUAUUGAAGACUAACUACUGCGAAAGCAUUUGCCAAGGAUGUUUUCAUUAGUCAAGAACGAAAGUUAGGGGAUCGAAGACGAUCAGAUACCGUCGUAGUCUUAACCAUAAACUAUGCCGACUAGGGAUCGGAUGAUGUAAUUUUUAAUGACUCA